rnacentral:tRNA from 1 species
GCGGAAGUAGCUCAGGCGGUAGAGCGUCUCCUUGCCAAGGAGAAGGUCGCGGGUUCAAGUCCCGUCUUCCGCUCCA